AACGAACGCUGGCGGCAUGCCUAACACAUGCAAGUCGAACGAGACCUUCGGGUCUAGUGGCGCACGGGUGCGUAACGCGUGGGAACCUGCCCUUAGGUUCGGAAUAACACCCCGACAGGGGUGCUAAUACAGGAUAAUGUCUUCGGACCAAAGAUUUAUCGACUUUGGGUGGGCCCGCGUUGGUUUGGCUUGUCGGUAGGGUAAAAGCCUACCAAGGCGACGAUCGAUAGCUGGUCAGAGAGAAUGGUCAGACACUCUGGGGCUGGGCCGCGGCCCGGACUCCUACGCAAGGCAGCAGUGGCUGAUAUUGGACAACCGGCUGAGUGAUGAUCGACCUAGGCUGCUAAAGCUAUGUUGGCCUGAGAGAAGAAAAGCUCGUUUACCCGUGAUGGUAAUGACGGUACCGAAAGAACAAGCUCCGGCUAACUCCGUG
rnacentral:rRNA from 1 species